AACUCAGGGUGCACGGAUCUUCUUUGAGGACAAAAGCAGGAAAAACAACAAAACCCGCUCACCAGGGUGUGGUGCUGCCCAGCUAGGGGGAAGCUGAGCCCGUCCCGCUCAAAGCGCCACCCGGAGCCCCGGGUUCGGGGUCUCGGCCGCCCCGCGUGGGGACCCCCCUCCCCACUAGCCUGGAGACCCCCCCCAGCCGGGGCGCUGUGCAGCCUUGGGCAAGUCGCUUGACCUCUCUGGGCCUCCAUCACCGCCUCUGGACGAGAAGGGCAGGGCAGAUGCCCCCUAAGGUCCAAGUCAGGCUUUGACUGUCUCUGAAGUCCCUGGAGAGCCCCUGCAGUGCUGGCUCCAAUUCUGAGCAUCCUGGACCAGUCCUGGACAUCUCUCCCACUGUCCUCCUACCCUCUCCACACCCACUGAAAGCCUGACACACCAACACAGUUAUAGCAAAGCAGAAAUGAUGAGUCCCAAAUAAACACAUUCUAACUUA